CCUACGGGGGGCAGCAGUGGGGGAUAUUGCACAAUGGGGGGAACCCUGAUGCAGCGACGCCGCGUGGGUGAAGGAGUGCUUCGGCAUGUAAAGCCCUAUCGGCAGGGAAGAAGCAAGACGGUACCUGACUAAGAAGCCCCGGCUAACUACGUGCCAGCAGCCGCGGUAAUACGUAGGGGGCAAGCGUUAUCCGGAUUUACUGGGUGUAAAGGGAGAGCAGGCGGCGCGGUAAGUCUGAUGUGAAAGCCCGGGGCUCAACCCCGGGACUGCAUUGGAAACUGUCGUGCUGGAGUGUCGGAGGGGCAAGUGGAAUGCCUAGUGUAGCGGUGAAAUGCGUAGAUAUUAGGCGGAACACCAGUGGCGAAGGCGGCUUGCUGGACGACAACUGACGCUGAGGCUCGAAAGCGUGGGGAGCAAACAGGAUUAGAUACCCGGGUAGUC
rnacentral:rRNA from 1 species